rnacentral:lncRNA from 1 species
GGGUGGAAUUGUCAUUGACCCAUCAUAUGUAAUGAAACUAGAGGUCUCUGGGUAAAGCUCCUCGAUGUUAAGCCCCUGUAGCAAGUAUGCAUCAUUUUUAUACGUUAUUCUUGUUAUAGUGUCUCUGUUAAGCAUACGAUUUAGAAAUGGAUUUGAUGAUUCAGAUACUUUCAUAAAUAUGGAAACUACCACCAACCCAUUAGGACUCUUUGCAGCUUCUGUGACGUUUGUGUACAACUCAUGGUUGUAGUGGAUCAGUUGAACCUCCCCAGAGAACGCCUGUCCAUUGAGAAGGUGCUCUGAUCCCUGGCUGUCUUCACUUCCGAAGUGUAACCGGAUUUCCUCUAAGCGGUGGCUGUAUGUCAUGGGCCCUCCAGAGAUGUUGAC